rnacentral:lncRNA from 1 species
GGAGGUUCGACACUUAAGAUUCAAGGUCAAGUAUAUGUAAUCUCACAAGGAUGGUUCCCUGAGCCUAAAGAUCAAUGGUUACUAGAGCUAUGGCCCCCAACAUAGCACCUCCACAACAAUCGAGUAAUCAACUAGGUGUGAAGAUACAAAUGAAGAGAACAAACUCUAGUUGGGGUUCUCACGAUAGCCAAACAGGAAGAAUAUCCCAAGUGGAACCGCUACACAACCCCUCUAUUUUUAAGCUAUACUCAGACCCGGGUAUAGGGCCCCACUCAUGAUAUGCAUAAAGUGUGUGUGUGAAGGGAGAAUGCAAUGCACCCAAACCCUCACCUGCAAAACAACCAGAAAAAUUCCCAGGCAGAUAAACAUGUUUUCUACCCUAGGGUUCAAUAUCAAGACAAUUCACACGCAAUUAUUUCAAAAAUCAAACAUAGAUAAAGAAAAGGGGAAGAAAAACACAGAAAAACCACAUCGAAUUCGCGUAUUUAAUUAAGUGGCCUGACUCUCUA